CCAACAGCCCCGGAAUCCUGAUGAUGUAAUAGUGACAGCCUUGGAGAGAGCAGCAUGUUCAGACAGCAGGAGAACACACAGGACCAUGGCUCAUUUGCACGGCCCGGGCACACCUGCCAGCAGGAGAUGUUUGCACCUAAAUGCAUAGGAACAAGCAACAGGACCUUGGGGAUUAUGUUAUUAGAAGAAAACUCUUGGCCGGGCGCGGUGGCUCACGCUUGUAAUCCCAGCACUUUGGGAGGCCGAGGUGGGCAGAUCACGAGAUCAAGCCUGGGAAGCCGACAGAUGAGAGUGCUAUUUUGAGAUGCAAGAUCAGGCUGAAGAGAAGAGGCAGAGUCGGAACAUCCCCAGAGACAGGGGUCUCACUAUGUUCCUCAGGCUGGUCUUGAACUCCUGGC